rnacentral:lncRNA from 1 species
GCUGAAGAAGGAAAUGAUAAAUGGCUCUCUCUUGAUUUGGAGCAGUGUAUCCCCUUUUGGCCUGAGUAUGCUUCUAGUAAACUUCUUAUUCAAGUCGAAAGGAGUGAAGAUCCUCCCAAAAGGAUAUAUUUUAACAAGCAGGAAAAUUGUAUUCUAUUGCGUCUAGAUAACGAGCUUGGAGGUAUUAUAGCAGAAGUGAAUUUGGCCGAGCAUUCUACAGUUAUUACAUUUUUAGAUUAUCAUGAUGGAGCAGCUACAUUCCUCUUAAUAAAUCACACAAAGAAUGAACUUGUUCAAUACAAUCAAAGCUAGAAAAAUGCCAUUCUGUAAUUAUUAAAAAAUCAAGAAACAACAGAUGAUGGCAAGGCUGUGGAGAAAUAGGAACGCUUUUACACUGUUGCUGGAAGUGUUAAUUAGUUCAACCAUUGUGGAAGACAGUGUGGUGAUUCCUCAAAGACCUAGAACCCAAAAUACCAUUUGACCCAGCAGUCCCCUUCCUGGUUCUCUCAGUGAAAUAGAAGAUUCCCUCCCUCCUGGUAAAGCCGUGUUUUAUACAUGGGCUGAUCCGGUGGGCUCUAGAAGGCUGAAGUGGAGAUGUAG